GUUCCGGGGGGAGUACGGUCGCAAGGCUGAAACUUAAAGGAAUUGGCGGAAGGGCACCACAAGGCGUGGAGCUUGCGGCUUAAUUUGACCCAACGCAGGAAAACUUACCAGGUCCGUACAUAGGGAGGAUUGACAGAUUGAUAGCUCUUUCUUGAUUCUAUGGGAGGUGGUGCAUGGCCGUUUCUAGUUCGUGAGUUGACUUGUCAGGUUAAUUCCGGUAACGAGCGAGACCUCAACUCCUAGCGAGCUCAUCCCGUCGAGCAGUCGCGGGGAUCUCGAUACAUUUGAGACCCCCGCGAAGGGAGUGGAUCGGUGGAGGCAAUUUCAGGGUAUGGGCCAGGGCCGAGCAUUACGGAAUGAGCAUCCUAGGAGGACGCUUGGUGGAAAACCAAGGGAGGCAUGAGGCGAUAGCAGGUCUGUGAUGCCCUUAGAUGUUCUGGGCUGCACGCGCGCUACAAUGGUGCGAGCAAUGAGAUGAGGGCUGAACCGAGAGGUUUGGCGCGCCUCGUAAACCGCACCCUGCCAGGGAUAGAUCAUUGCAAUUGUUGAUCUUGAACGAGGAAUGCCUAGUAAGCACGAGUCAUCAGCUCGUGCUGAAUACGUCCCUGCCCUUUGUACACACCGCCCGUCGCUCCUGCCAAUGGAUCGGCUGGAGAGAGUGAGAGAUCGACCAGGGUAACCUCGCGUCGUAGACCUCCCUCAAUCCGUCAGUAUCUAAAGGAAGGAGAAGUCGUAACAAGGUUUCCGUAG
rnacentral:rRNA from 1 species